GACGAACGCUGGCGGCGUGCUUAACACAUGCAAGUCGAACGGAAAGGCCCUGCUCUUGUGCGGUGCUCGUGUGGCGAAAGGGUGAGUAACACGUGAGUAACCUGCCCUUGACUUUGGGAUAACUUCAGGAAACUGGGGCUAAUACCGGAUAGGAGCUCCUGCUGCAUGGUGGGGGUUGGAAAGUUUCGGCGGUUGGGGAUGGACUCGCGGCUUAUCAGCUUGUUGGUGGGGUAGUGGCUUACCAACGCGUCGACGGGUAGCCAGCCUGAGAGGGUGACCGGCCACAUUGGGACUGGGAUACGACCCAGACUCCUACGGGGGGCAGCAAUGGGGAAUAUUGCACAAUAGGCGGAAGCCUUAUGCAGCAACUCCGCGUGGUAAAUAACUGCCUUCGGGUUGUAACCCGCUUUCGCGUGUGACGAAGCGUGAGUGACGGUAAUGAGUAAAGAAGCAACGGCUAACUACGUG
rnacentral:rRNA from 1 species